ensembl:lncRNA
CGACGCUACCCUGCAGCCUGCAUGCUCUGCAGCCAGAAGUGUGCACAAACUCAUGCACGCAGGUGCUGCUGGCACGGCACGGCACGGAGCAGCCCUGCAGUACACGCUGCUGAGCCGCUGCACCUUCCCCAGCACAUCCCGCUCUGGCACCAGUUCCCAAACUGGUAGGGCUGGGAAGGGUGCCUUUGGCGAUGGGUGCCAGGACGGCAGCGGCACCCGGCUCUCCCGCAGAGGGUCUCCAAUCUAGGAGCUGUAAAGUUAGCGUGCAAGUGGAACGAGGACUGCUCGAACAAGGCUGAAGAACAAGAAAAUCAGGCAGAGAAAAAGAAGCAUGCUUUCCCCUUACCUAUUGCCUCUGCUCAAACACCGGGCAGUGUCUUUAGAGAGCCCGGGCAUUUGGACCCACAGGGCAGAGGACUUUCGGCACGUGCACCCAGAGCCCGGCAAAAGCCAUCUUCUCCCUGUCUCUUAGCACAGUGCAAGCCUCCAGCAGCUCAGCUCUCCAGCUGCAAACAUCUCAUUAGACUAAUGCAUUCAGCACAGGCAGAAAACUCGAUUUACCAUAGCUACAGCAAUGAAUUUCCAUUACGAUGACAGCUUCAACCACAUCAUGUCCGGAAAACCAGCCAACCACUGCCUUUUAAAGAACACACACAUUUUACACGCAGAAAACGAGGGCCCGUGUGCCGUGUCUCCUUUCUCUUCCCGGCUAAACGGAGAAAAAAUUGCCAUGUCUGUAUAGUUCAGAGCUCUGCAAGCCAAAAGGUAAAGGCAGCCGGACUUUUUUUUCCCACAUAGCAGCAGCUUUCGCAGCAACGUGCGGUGCGGUGCAACGAGCAGAACGGGUGCUUGCAACAUUUCUACAUUUUACCUACCCCUCCUCUGUUGCCAUAGAAACCAGCCUGUAUCAUCAUCCCUUUGUCCCGAUCCUGCAGCAAUGUGGCCCAACACCGAGCUAACGCGAUGGGCAGGACCGGGCGCUCCAGUUUCGGACAAAUUAAACGCAAACUGGGGGAAAGGCGCUUGGGACCUUUUUGCCGGGAACACCAGGAGCGCGUGGGUACUGCAGUGCUCACACUCGCACAUCUGCACACACGUACACGGAGCCUGGAGCUCAAAGAUAUAUCUCACAGCAAACUUCCAGUGGACCACAUCUGCCUGUCCAGUGCUAGCAGUGAUGCUUAAAAACUGAUGAGCCUGCAGGUGUGGCACAAGGAGGUCAUGCCAGUCACUGUCCUGUUGAUGCAACCUGCAUGCCCCUGCUUCCAAACCUGUUCCCUGCAGAAUACAUGCAAUGUUGCAGCACCAUACAGCACAGGGUCUUUGCUCAGCACAAGCUGAGCAGAUGCUGGGAAGAGCAUCUUGCUUCAGAAACACUGAAGCGAUGGCAAUUACUGCAUCACUCUCCGCGUGAAGAUCAAGGAAGAGUCAGGAUUAUUUUUUGCACGACUUUCCCUUGCUAAUUAUAUUAGCCAUGCCUGACAAGGAUAAGGCAUUGAAAAGCUGAAUUAGAAACUCUUCACUGAGUACGCAUCAGAAUUGUUAUUUGUGAGGCAACACACUGAAACGUCAGCUUUUUAUUGUAAGAACCGCAGCAGGACACAGAGAGAGACAUCCCAUCAGGGGAGCGCUGGAUGGGGGGAAAGAAAGUUCAAAGAAAAAACAGAAGAAAGGCUGGGAUGGCAGCCUGGAGAGUGCAGGGGGCUGCAGAGCUGCCCAGGGAGCCCCAGCACUGGGCCCCCUCCUUACAGCAGCUCCCACCAUGUACCUGCAGCAUCCCACGGGCUCACACGCUGCUUCUGCAGUGAAAACCCAGUCAUUCUUCUACCACCAUGGAAAACAAAACAGUUUAAAUUGCAUCAGGGCACCUUUCCUAAAAACAUACUUUUCUUAGGCAGCAUUUCCUAAAUGGGGAUUUCUCUUAUUCUGGGAAAUUUCUAGGAUUUGAUUAACCAGCACCUUAGCUCGAACUUUUGGCUGUCGUAUAGAGAGGGACUGUGAGCUGGGAAGCGCUGCAUUAUGACAAGUGAAAGGUAUCUAUUUGAAUAAACGCCAUGAUAAAUAAAAAAUUCA